GUACGUAGGGGGCUAGCGUUGUCCGGAAUCAUUGGGCGUAAAGCGCGUGUAGGCGGCCCGGUAAGUCCGCUGUGAAAGUCGGGGGCUCAACCCUCGGAUGCCGGUGGAUACUGUCGGGCUGGAGUGCGGAAGAGGCGAGUGGAAUUCCUGGUGUAGCGGUGAAAUGCGCAGAUAUCAGGAGGAACACCAAUUGCGAAGGCAGCUCGCUGGGACGUUACUGACGCUGAGACGCGAAAGCGUGGGGAGCAAACAGG
rnacentral:rRNA from 1 species